rnacentral:rRNA from 1 species
GCAGCAGGUCUCCAAGGUUAACAGCCUCUAGUUUCUAGAAUAAUGUAGGUAAGGGAAGUCGGCAAAACAGAUCCGUAACUUCGGGAUAAGGAUUGGCUCUGAAGGAUGGGCCGUUCGGGCUGUGGCCAGAAACAGGUGAUGCGUCUGGCUGGGACUGGACACUGGCAACGGUGUCCGGACCCGUGCUGAUGUCUGCCUGCGGACGGCCAUGGCUACGCCUCUGGGCCCUGUGCUUGGAGUGUCGUUUCGGGCGGCAUUCAACAUCCGACUCAGAACUGGCACGGACCCCGGGAAUCCGACUGUCUAAUUAAAAC